GACGUAGGGCGCGAGCGUUGUCCGGAUUUAUUGGGCGUAAAGAGCUCGUAGGCAGCUUGUCGCGUCGACCGUGAAAACCCGUGGCUCAACUACGGGCUGGCGGUCGAUACGGGCAGGCUGGAGUUCGGUAGGGGAGACUGGAAUUCCUGGUGUAGCGGUGAAAUGCGCAGAUAUCAGGAGGAACACCGGUGGCGAAGGCGGCUACCUGGACCGGUUCUGACGCUGAGGCGCGAAAGCGUGGGUAGCAAACAGG
rnacentral:rRNA from 1 species